rnacentral:lncRNA from 1 species
AUAUAGAAAAAUGCCCUUCCCCAAUUUCCAAAUCGUGAAAAUUUGGCUCAGCAGGUGUACACUUAAAGCGUUCUGGGAAUAUGAAUCCCUUCUGCACCCUGGAAUCACCAGUCCAGCCAUGCAUGGAGCUGGGGAAAGCAGGCCCUGAAUUGUCUAGAGAGACUUGGUGGAGGAGGCCACGGCCCGCCUUGUCCCUGCCGGGUCCCGGCCAGGUGUGUGUGUGCCCCAGCUCGACUCUCGGUGGUCUCCAGGCUGCAGCAGAAGGAAUACCUUGGAACAACUGGAUGUUGUAAAUGUUUCUCAUCUGGCCUUAAAAUCCAUGAAAGCUGGAAAAUCACAAGGCAUCUGUGCAUAUACUGGUGGAUUUUAAUGAGAGUCCUGUGUUUGGAGCACCAGAAAUAAACCAGCUUCAGAAGCAAAGUUAACAGGAGGAGGAAGCAGAGCUAGAGAUGGAAGGAGACCCAGCCAGCCCGGGCUCCAGUGACAUCGGCUGGUACACGCUUUUGUUUGCUUACGCUUGUUGAACUGAGUUUUUCAUAUGUAACUAACGAAUACUGGCACAUGUAAGCCCGAGAAUUUGCAUUUCUGACAAGAUCCCAGGAUCUGAACGUCUAUGACACUCUUUCGAGCUGACACAGUGAAGAACAUAGAAGGAGAACUCACCCAGUCUGCCAGGGUCACAGAAUGAUCAUACUCAAGAUCUUCCUGGGGAGUCAAUGGCAAAUUUCACUGGGCUAUUUUACAGAUGAAGAAGGAACAUAAAGAAGGUUCUGGGACCCC